rnacentral:lncRNA from 1 species
GGCCGCGCCGCAGAAGGUGAAGGAACAGCGCGAGGCACGCAGCCGCCGCACCGUGGCGCGCACGAGCUCAGCCGGCCGGCGACCCCAGCGCGCCCACAGGACAGUGGCAGCCGGAAAGUGGGUUCCUGCAUGGUAACAAGACCUUAAAAUUGUGUCACUGGAGAAGGACGUGCAGUUCCCGCUGAGGAGAGACUUGGCCACUCCAGGACAACACAGGACUACAAGUCAGGAAUUUGAAGAUGAAAAGUGCUCAACAGUGAUAAAUCCUAAAUGUUUCACUGAACAACCUUUCAGAUAGCCUUCUUGAAGUUUGCUGAAUUAUGGCUAUAAGGACCACUCCCCACCCCUGCUAGGUGAAGUCUCACUUGCCCAGGUUGCAGUGAGCCGAGAUUGCACCACUGCACUCAAGCCUGGGUGACAGAAAAAGACUCCAUCUCAUAUUCGAAAAGAAUGUAGGAUAAAAUGUGUUACUGCUGAGUCUCGUUAUUUGGUUAUGUUUGUAUUGAUUCAUUUGUUGUAUUGAUAAAGAUUAGUAGGUGGCAAAUUCUUCCUUUAGAAGGUUGUUUGUGACCCAAGAGGGCAUCAAUACAAAGACCCUAAAGCUGGGAUUCCGAAGCACAGAGUCGCGGGAGAGAACCAAAGCUCAUCGCAUCUGGUUUAAGACUCCUUCAGAGUUGGAUCAGCCUAAAAACAGGACAUGGUACAAGAUUUUAUUCAUUCCAAAGAUUGUAAAAAUUAAAUUCAUCCUGAGAAUUUAUCAGUCUAUGUGGGAGCUACAGACUUCUAUGAGCAAGCAGAGGACCUGGCAUUCCUGACCAUGCUAUUUCUACCAAUCAACAAAAACUACUAGAUACUCAGAGGGGAUUUAAUACAGAGAGCUGGCUACAACAUGACAAAACACCAGACAAGGGAGGGCACUGUG